AGUGGGAUAGCUGUGUCAAAUGGUGGUUCCGAUCCAAGUUUUCUGAGGAAUCUCUAUAUUGCUUUCCAUAAUGGUUGCACCAAUUUGCAGUCCCAUCAGCAAU
rnacentral:pre_miRNA from 1 species